UUACCUGGUUUGAUCCUGCCAGUAGUCAUAUGCUUGUCUCAAAGAUUAAGCCAUGCAUGUCUAAGUACAAGCCUUCCUUAGUGUGAAACCGCAAACGGCUCAUUAAAUCAGUCAUAAUACAUUGGACGCAGUUUAUCUUUACUCGGAUAACUGUGGCAAUUCUAGAGCUAAUACGUGCAUUUAAGCUCCGACGCCGAGUCGGGAGAGGAAGCGAUUCCUCGCCCUUCUCGGGGGAAGGGCGCAGUUAUUAGAAUUCAUAAACCGAGACGGGCUCUCGAGUCCGAUUUCUCUCGGCUAGUGAUGACUCUGGAUAACCAAGCCAAGCGCUAAGGCCUCAGAGCCGGCGCUGCAUCUUUUUCGAGUGACUGCCCUAUCAGCUUUCGAUUGUAGGAUAGAGGCCUACGAUGGCUGUUACGGGUAACGGGGAAUCAGGGUUCGAUUCCGGAGAGGGAGCCUGAGAAACGGCUACCACAUCUAAGGAAGGCAGCAGGCACGCAAAUUACCCAAUCCCAGUACGGGGAGGUAGUGACGAUAAAUAACGAUGCGGGACUCAUCCGAGGCCUCGCAAUCGGAAUGAGCUCGCUUUAAAAAAGUUAGCGAGGAUCGAUUGGAGGGCAAGUCUGGUGCCAGCAGCCGCGGUAAUUCCAGCUCCAAUAGCGUAUAUUAAAGUUGUUGCGGUUAAAAAAAAAANNNNNNNNNNNNNNNNNNNNNNGCCAGCGGUCGUAUCGGUNGAAGGGGCGUGGAGGGUUCCAAAAGGACCGCCNAACGGCCUCUUCGCGCGCGCCUCUUCCCACCUCCGCGCGCUUUCUCGGCGGAAAAAGCCGCUCGGUUACGGAUUUGAAACGACAACUUUUUCGUCGGCUUUCACGGGGUGCUCUUUACCGAGUGUCUCGCGUGGCCGAUGACGAUCACUUUGAAUAAAUUAGAGUGCUCAAAGCAGGCAGCAAAAUUUGUGAAUGCCUGAAUAGUAAUGCAUUGAAUGAUGGAACAGGACCUCGGUUCAGACUUUAUUUUUUUUCUCGGUUUUUCCCGAACCCGAGGUAAUGAUUAACGGGAACGGCCGGGGGCAUUAGUAUUGCGACGCGAGGGGUGAAAUCCAGUGACCGUCGCAAGACUACCUACUGCGAAAGCAUUUGCCAAGAAUGUUUUCAUUAAUCAAGAACGAAAGUUAGAUGAUCGAAGGCGAUCAGAUACCGCCCUAGUUCUAACCAUAAACUAUGCCAACUAGCGAUCCGCGUACAGUCAUUCCCAAGACUGCGCGGGAAGCCCCCGGGAAACCGAAGUUUUUGGGUUCCGGGGGUAGUAUGGUUGCAAAGCUGAAACUUAAAGGAAUUGACGGAAGGGCACCACCAGGAGUGGAGCCUGCGGCUUAAUUUGACUCAACACGGGAAACCUCACCAGGCCCGGACACCGGAAGGAUUGACAGAUUGAGAGCUCUUUCUCGAUUCGGUGGUUGGUGGUGCAUGGCCGUUCUUAGUUGGUGGAGCGAUUUGUCUGGUUAAUUCCGAUAACGAACAAGAUUCUGUCCUACUAACUAGUCGACGGAUCGUUUCCCGAGACGGGUUCCCCCUUCCUUCCGCGCGUGCGAGUCUUAUCUCCGGCGCCGCGGCUUCGGAGGUGGCGGUUUUCGGUUACGGGGCGUUCUUCGAUCGUUCAUUCGGUUGGUCGUCAUUCGUUCGGUUGUCGUCGUCGCCGUCGUCGUUGUUCGCAGCGGCGGCGUCGCCGGCGGCCGUCGUCGAUUGGCGGUUUUUCCGUCUGGCGGUCGUUGACGCUCUAUUCCGUUUCGCCCCCCUUCGUCGUCGUCGUCGUCGAGGGUUCGGCUUUCCGCGAUAAAAAGGAUCGGUCGGGGGUUUUCCCAACGAGGGGCGUCCGUCGUAUUAAAAAUUAUCUUCUUAGAGGGACCGGCGGUCUCGAGCCGUACGAGAAAGAGCAAUAACAGGUCUGUGAUGCCCUUAGAUGUCCUGGGCCGCACGCGUGCUACAAUGGAGGGAGCAGCGUGCUUUCCCCCUCCGAGAGGAGUGGGUAACCCCAUGAAACCCCUUCCCGAUUGGGAUUGGGGGUUGCAAUGGUUGCCCAUGAACGAGGAAUCCCUUGUAAGCGCGAGUCAUAAGCUCGCGAUGAAUACGUCCCUGCCCUUUGUACACACCGCCCGUCGCUACUACCGAUGAAUGAUUAAGUGAGAGCGUCGGACCGGCGCCCUCGGCUGCCCUCGGAUCGAUAACAAAAGCUGUCGUCGCGGUCGUCGUCGUCGAAAUUUCGGCGGCGGCGGUUGCGGCGGCGGUUCGACCGAGUCA
rnacentral:rRNA from 1 species